CCUCUGCUGAGAUUUUCUUUGAGAUGGUCACGGAAGAGAUGAUGUCUUUCACUGAGGCAACUACCCUGGCUGAUGCGGUCCCACCAGGGGUCCAAGGCAGGCAUUGCCAGAACAGCCGACUGUGACCAGGAGGGGAAGGUCCCCAGAUGGCCUUUCCAGGGACAGGAUCGACCACCCGCAACUCCCAGACGAGACAUUUUCUAUGAAGUCCAGAGUACGUGUCAGGCUCGGGGAUUCCUGCAUCCCACUUCUCAAGCCUGUUUCCAGGGUACCCGGAGGUGAAGAUGGAGAAGGCAGGCAGCUCUCCAAACAAGGCAAGCCCUCCCUGUUUGUCCAGUUCCCAGAUGAACUUUAAAGGGAUAACAAGUUUGAGGAACAAAAUCAACCCCUGGAUAACUAAUCCUCACAUUUUAAGUGUCUGAGAAUACCACGUAGCCAAGAUGCCGAAGCCCCUUAAAGUGAGUCAGUGACCAGUACAGAGUCUCUGCUUACUACACACGGCCGAUCUAACGAGAAGUGGGCAAACCCAUUUUUAGCACCAUAUGAGCCACAGAAGCAAGGACAGCACAAAUCCUAGUCCAGCCUAUGUUCCUGCCCUUCUGAGGUGAAGCCGUGCGCUGGCAGCAUGAAUUUAAGGCGAGACCCACAGGAGUCAGCGCAGAGCCUGGCCCAGAACUUGCGGAAAGCGAAGAUCUGCAGGGAUUUCUGCUGUGGGUUUUCCUUUCCAGUCCCCCCAGCUCCCACUCCCCAGGCCCCAUGUGCUCCCUGCACUUUUUUUUUUCCUAUGGAAGAGAAAGCUCAUGAGCCCCUGAGGAAAGGUGUCAUUAAUUCCAGCCUUCCAGAUAUGUGUGAUUACCAACUACAGAAAAAUCGAGGAGACAUUCGGCUUACAAGAAUUCCUGGCAGAAGAUGUUCACAGCCUGAAGCUAAUAU